rnacentral:rRNA from 1 species
AGCGUACACGGUGGAUGCCCUGGCAGUCAGAGGCGAUGAAGGACGUGCUAAUCUGCGAUAAGCGUCGGUAAGGUGAUAUGAACCGUUAUAACCGGCGAUUUCCGAAUGGGGAAACCCAGUGUGUUUCGACACACUAUCAUUAACUGAAUCCAUAGGUUAAUGAGGCGAACCGGGGAACUGAAACAUCUAAGUACCCCGAGGAAAAGAAAUCAACCGAGAUUCCCCCAGUAGCGGCGAGCGAACGGGGAGCAGCCCAGAGCCUGAAUCAGUGUGUGUGUUAGUGGAAGCGUCUGGAAAGGCGCGCGAUACAGGGUGACAGCCCCGUACACAAAAAUGCACAUGCUGUGAGCUCGAUGAGUAGGGCGGGACACGUGGUAUCCUGUCUGAAUAUGGGGGGACCAUCCUCCAAGGCUAAAUACUCCUGACUGACCGAUAGUGAACCAGUACCGUGAGGGAAAGGCGAAAAGAACCCCGGCGAGGGAGUGAAAAAGAACCUGAAACCGUGUACGUACAAGCAGUGGGAGCACGCUUAGGCGUGUGACUGCGUACCUUUUGUAUAAUGGGUCAGCGACUUAUAUUCUGUAGCAAGGUUAACCGAAUAGGGGAGCCGAAGGGAAACCGAGUCUUAACUGGGCGUUAAGUUGCAGGGUAUAGACCCGAAACCCGGUGAUCUAGCCAUGGGCAGGUUGAAGGUUGGGUAACACUAACUGGAGGACCGAACCGACUAAUGUUGAAAAAUUAGCGGAUGACUUGUGGCUGGGGGUGAAAGGCCAAUCAAACCGGGAGAUAGCUGGUUCUCCCCGAAAGCUAUUUAGGUAGCGCCUCGUGAAUUCAUCUCCGGGGGUAGAGCACUGUUUCGGCAAGGGGGUCAUCCCGACUUACCAACCCGAUGCAAACUGCGAAUACCGGAGAAUGUUAUCACGGGAGACACACGGCGGGUGCUAACGUCCGUCGUGAAGAGGGAAACAACCCAGACCGCCAGCUAAGGUCCCAAAGUCAUGGUUAAGUGGGAAACGAUGUGGGAAGGCCCAGACAGCCAGGAUGUUGGCUUAGAAGCAGCCAUCAUUUAAAGAAAGCGUAAUAGCUCACUGGUCGAGUCGGCCUGCGCGGAAGAUGUAACGGGGCUAAACCAUGCACCGAAGCUGCGGCAGCGACGCUGAUGCGUUGUUGGGUAGGGGAGCGUUCUGUAAGCCUGUGAAGGUGUGCUGUGAGGCAUGCUGGAGGUAUCAGAAGUGCGAAUGCUGACAUAAGUAACGAUAAAGCGGGUGAAAAGCCCGCUCGCCGGAAGACCAAGGGUUCCUGUCCAACGUUAAUCGGGGCAGGGUGAGUCGACCCCUAAGGCGAGGCCGAAAGGCGUAGUCGAUGGGAAACAGGUUAAUAUUCCUGUACUUGGUGUUACUGCGAAGGGGGACGGGGAAGGCUAUGUUGGCCGGGCGACGGUUGUCCCGGUUUAAGCGUGUAGGCUGGUUUUCCUAGGCAAAUCCGGAAAACUAAAGGCUGAGGCGUGAUGACGAGGCACUACGGUGCUGAAGCAACAAAUGCCCUGCUUCCAGGAAAAGCCUCUAAGCAUCAGGUAACAUCAAAUCGUACCCCAAACCGACACAGGUGGUCAGGUAGAGAAUACCAAGGCGCUUGAGAGAACUCGGGUGAAGGAACUAGGCAAAAUGGUGCCGUAACUUCGGGAGAAGGCACGCUGAUAUGUAGGUGAAGUCCCUCGCGGAUGGAGCUGAAAUCAGUCGAAGAUACCAGCUGGCUGCAACUGUUUAUUAAAAACACAGCACUGUGCAAACACGAAAGUGGACGUAUACGGUGUGACGCCUGCCCGGUGCCGGAAGGUUAAUUGAUGGGGUCAGCGCAAGCGAAGCUCUUGAUCGAAGCCCCGGUAAACGGCGGCCGUAACUAUAACGGUCCUAAGGUAGCGAAAUUCCUUGUCGGGUAAGUUCCGACCUGCACGAAUGGCGUAAUGAUGGCCAGGCUGUCUCCACCCGAGACUCAGUGAAAUUGAACUCGCUGUGAAGAUGCAGUGUACCCGCGGCAAGACGGAAAGACCCCGUGAACCUUUACUAUAGCUUGACACUGAACAUUGAGCCUUGAUGUGUAGGAUAGGUGGGAGGCUUUGAAGUGUGGACGCCAGUCUGCAUGGAGCCGACCUUGAAAUACCACCCUUUAAUGUUUGAUGUUCUAACGUUGACCCGUAAU